rnacentral:misc_RNA from 1 species
CUGUCUAACAAGCAAAAGUUAUGCUAUAGGUAAUGUCGACCUGGAACUUAGUACUUCCAUUCAUAAGAGUUGAAAAAAUUUCAAACCUUCAUAAUGGUGCUUCUUGUCUACAGUUUUAAGCUGUUUCACUUGAAGCCUCGACUUUACAACAAGAAGAGGAUAUGUUACAACAGUAGCCUCCAAGCUUUGCCAAUGCUCCAAGGAGAAAUAUCUCCAAAGCAGUGACCCCAUUGUUGCCCUUCUUACUCAAGGCACGUUGUUUCUUGAGCUUCUUCAUCAUGGUUUCAUAUAGCAUGAAUUGUAUGGAAGGGUUGCUCACCAUGAUCAAUGUUGGGAAUACGCCUUU